UUUACUCGUUAAAAAUCCAUCUCCGUGCCCAGUGGCGUUUCCAGUGUGUGAGCCGCCGUUGGUCCGUCAGACAUUGAACAAUGGUGACGGCAUACGGAUGAGCUAUUGAGCCAUGUGCAUACUGGAAUUUCGGUCACAAAUAUGAAACACCACUUUUAUUUCCAUCAUCUGUGAAAUUCGUCCAUCUUUGUAAGAGGAAGAAAAAAAAUAAAAAAAAUAAAAACGUUAAAUUAAAAUUAUAGCACUGCGAGAUGGAUUCCCCAUCCGAAUUUUCUUCCUUCCCUCCAUCCCAGACCCAGUUGCCUCCUCAACAAAACCCUAACCCUAUCGUUUUCUUGGAUCCCAACUCCGAUUCCUUCCCAAACUGGGCUGAAAACCCUAACCCUAACUUGCAGAACUAUCUUUCCUUCACCGUCCCCAAGAAGAGGAGGCGCGGCAGGUCCCAACGCAACCCGGCGUCGUUUCGCAUCCCUCUCGACCCCAAUGACGCUUCCAAUUCUAACAACAACAACAACAACGGUUUUUCGUCUUCCGCUGCGGCAGUCCCCGUUUCGGCUCCUUUGUCGAAAGUCGUCAUCGGAAACCCGCCGCCGCCGCUGUCGAUGUCGAUGCAGUACUCGGUGCCUGACAAUUCCGAUGAGAUUAUUGUGAUCAACAAGGAGCCGAAGACUGAAGCCUUGAUUGCCCUCAGCGCCGGGUUUCCAGCCGAUUCGCUAACCGAGGAGGAGAUCGAAGCGGGGGUUCUCCCGGUCAUCGGAGGGAUAGAGCAGGUGAACUACACUCUCAUUAGGAACCAUAUAAUUGCCAAAUGGCGCGAGAAUGUGUCCCAGUGGGUCUCGAAGGAGAUGUUUGUUGACUACAUACCUCAGCAUUACCACGCUCUUCUUGACUCCGCUUAUAACUACCUCGUCUCGCAUGGAUACAUCAAUUUUGGAGUUGCACCCUUGAUUAAGGAAAAAAUUCCAUUGGAAAUGAGUAAACCGGGCGUGAUCAUCAUCGGCGCUGGCCUGGCCGGAUUGGCGGCUGCUAGGCAGCUGAUGCGGUUUGGCUUUAAAGUAACGGUCUUGGAAGGGAGGAAGCGCGCCGGCGGACGAGUUUAUACGAAGAAGAUGGAGGGAGGGAAUAGGGUGUGUGCAGCUGCGGAUUUGGGCGGGAGUGUUUUAACUGGUACCUUAGGGAAUCCUCUUGGCAUUGUAGCAAGGCAGUUAGGUGAUGUGCUUCAUAAGGUAAGGGAUAAGUGUCCACUUUAUAGUCUCGAUGGAAAGCCAGUUGACCCUGAUAUGGACGUAAAGGUGGAAAAUGCGUUUAACCGUUUGCUUGACAAGGCAAGCAGGCUUAGACAGUUGAUGGGGGAGGUAUCUAUGGAUGUGUCCCUUGGUGCGGCAUUGGAAACGUUUAGGCAAGUGUACAAGGAUGCGGUGAAUGAUGAGGAGAUGAACUUGUUUAAUUGGCAUCUAGCCAAUUUGGAGUAUGCGAAUGCCGGUUUGUUGUCCCAUCUUUCGCUAGCGUUUUGGGAUCAAGAUGAUCCAUAUGAUAUGGGAGGGGAUCAUUGCUUUUUGCCUGGAGGAAAUGGGAAGUUAGUUCAAGCUUUGGCCGAGAACGUGUCUAUUCUAUAUGAGAAAACUGUACAUACUGUUAGAUACAGUGGUGAUGGAGUGCAGGUUAUUGCAGGAAAUCAGGUCUUUGAGGGUGAUAUGGCAUUGUGCACUGUUCCACUAGGAGUGUUAAAGAAGGGCUCCAUCAAAUUUAUACCUGAGUUGCCUCAAAGAAAACUUGAUGGAAUAAAAAGAUUGGGUUUUGGUCUACUGAAUAAGGUUGCUAUGCUUUUUCCUCAUGUAUUCUGGGAGACGGAUCUUGACACUUUUGGACACCUUACUGAUGAUCCAAGUCGCCGUGGGGAGUUUUUUCUGUUCUACAGUUAUGCCCCAGUUGCUGGUGGUCCACUGUUGAUUGCUUUAGUGGCAGGGGAAGCUGCACAUAAGUUCGAGAGCAUGCCCCCAACAGAUGCAGUCACACGUGUUCUUCAAAUUCUCAAGGGUAUCUAUGAACCAAAAGGAAUUAGUGUUCCUGAACCCAUCCAAACUGUCUGUACUAGAUGGGGAAACGAUCCUUUCUGCUUUGGUUCUUAUUCUAAUGUUGCAGUUGGAGCUUCCGGGGAUGAUUAUGAUAUUUUAGCAGAAACUGUUGGGGAUGGUAGACUUUUCUUUGCUGGGGAGGCAACCACUAGGCGCUAUCCUGCUACCAUGCAUGGGGCUUUUCUUAGUGGUCUUAGAGAAGCAGCAAAUAUGGCUCACUAUGCUGAUAUUCGAUCCCGAAGAUUGAAGGUUGACAGGGCUCCUUCAAAUGCUUAUUCUUGUGCUUCCCUUCUUGCCGACUUAUUUAGAGAACCUGAUAUAGAAUUUGGAAGCUUUUCUGCCAUUUUUGCUCGGAAGAAUGCAGACUCCAAGUCACCAGCAAUCUUGCGGGUAACAUUUAGUGAGCAUAGAAAGAAGAGUCAUGAAGUUGCAAAACAAGACCAACAACAGCACUCAAACAAAUUGCUUUUUCAGCAGCUUCAGUCACAUUUUAAUCAGCAGCAGCAGCUUCAUGUUUACACUCUACUAUCAAGGCAACAGAUUCUUGACCUAAGAGAAGUAAGAGGAGGUGAUGAAAUGAGAUUGAAUUACCUUUGUGAAAAGAUAGGAGUGAAGUUGGUGGGAAGAAAAGGCUUGGGGCCUAGUGGUGAUUCUGUCAUUGCUUCCAUUAAAGCUGAAAGGGGCAAUCGGAAACCUCUUUCAACAUCUGCGAUUAUUAAACCAGGGGUAUCGAAACUAAAAGCCGGCAUUAUUAAGCGAAAGCUAAUCAGGAAGGCGAAAGUGGUGAAGAAAACCCAUGGAUCCUUACUGCACACUAGCACAAAUGUGGUGAAUACCACUAAAGUAACGGAAGAGAAUAGGACAGAUCAAGCACUUCCUGGUGUGCCUGUUUUAGGUAACUCCCAAAGUGGCUUGUCAAAUCCGUGAAGCGAGCACCUAUAUUCAUCCAGGAGGGUGCAAUUUCAUUAGAGAUCUUGAUGACAAUGUCAGAGCGUGCUGGCUUUCAAAUGAAAAAAGGGUAUCUUUCUACGGGACAUUGUUUUGCCAAGACAGGCACCAGUAGUAUGUCAAAUUUCAUUCAUCAACCUUGAGCUAACUAGCAUCCUACUUUGAGGGUGGAAAAAAUACCAAAACAAAACAAAAGGAGUCGCCCUUGAUGAGAACCACAAGCUUACAUCAUAGUGGGCGUCAACAAAUAAAACGGAGGAAGUAAAGGCAGGUGGGCGAUGAAGCCAGUUUGUUUUUCUUUUUUAAGUGUGCAACUGGUGCUGGGGUGUUUCGGAGAUGUGUAUGAGAUACUUGGACAAAUGAAGGUGGGAAUAGUGGUUCUUCUAGAAUACAUCACUCACCGUUUAAGUCAAGUUCAAUGAUAAUUUAGUCAUUGGUAUUUAUUCCAUAGAAAAUGUUAGGAUUAAAGUAGUGUGUGCUCCAUUUCCAUAGUAGGGAUUCAAUCAUUUUUUUUCCUGUAUGUAAGGAUUUGAUUAAUUUUUAACCGAUAAAAACUUGAUUGCAAUUAAAUUAUGAUUAAUUCUGUAUAAUAUUUUUCUU